GUUGGCCGUUUCUACUUUUGCCAGUCCACCGCUCUGUGGUGUGAUGACGGACACAGAGUGUAACAAUCGUAAAACGUCCUUUUCCAAUUUUUAUUGCAUAGUUCCAAUUGUUACUGGUUCAAUGUAUACAUUUAUUUUACUUUGGUUUUACAUUGCCUUGGUGUUUGCUAGUUGUUAUUUCAGUGAGGUGAAAGAUGAACGUUUUCUUUAU